GUAGGAAUCUACCUUUAACUCAUGGAUAACCGGGAGAAAUCCCAGCUAAUACAUGAUGUGGUGGCAACACUAAAGAUUUAUCGGUUAAAGAUGAGCCUGCGGCCUAUCAGCUAGUUGGUGGGGUAAAAGCCUACCAAGGCUAUGACGGGUACCGGAACUGAGAGGUUGUACCGGCAGAGGGGCACUGAGACACGGGC
rnacentral:rRNA from 1 species